GGAAGCAGUUCCAGUCCCAGCUGCUGAGGUGGCGUAGUGACAGGUGAGAGCAAUAACAACAGAAGCAAUAGUAAUUGCCUACAGUAGUAUAUUCGGUUGUUUGCGGUGGAAUAGAUUCAAGCGUCCGGGCCAGUAGAUCCAGAGCAAAUAGGCGUUGACUUAGUUGCUUUUGCAGUUGAUUCUAAUCCCGAUGUUGAUCCGACGCAACUUACCGGUGAUAGUCGCAGCACCGGGAGCUUUCAAGGGAGGCAGACAUAUAUAGAUAGUAGCUGAUAGUGGCAUACCUUCCGGAUCGAGGGUCCCACCCGGUAAACACCAUAAAGGCAAAAUAUCAGCGGGGGGAGGAGGCCCUUCUCACUCAAGCUCAAGCAUUUACUUUUCUAGUUAGAGACCAACGUCUUGGGGCUAACGUGGGA
rnacentral:misc_RNA from 1 species